rnacentral:rRNA from 1 species
AGAGUUUGAUCAUGGCUCAGGACGAACGCUGGCGGCGUGCUUAACACAUGCAAGUCGAACGGUGACCUCGGAGCUUGCUCCGGGUGAUCAGUGGCGAACGGGUGAGUAACACGUGAGUAACCUGCCCCAGACUCUGGGAUAACCCCGGGAAACCGGAGCUAAUACCGGAUACGACGCGAAGAGGCAUCUCUAUCGCGUGGAAAGUUUUCGGUCUGGGAUGGACUCGCGGCCUAUCAGCUUGUUGGUGAGGUAACGGCUCACCAAGGCGACGACGGGUAGCCGGCCUGAGAGGGCGACCGGCCACACUGGGACUGAGACACGGCCCAGACUCCUACGGGAGGCAGCAGUGGGGAAUAUUGCACAAUGGGCGAAAGCCUGAUGCAGCGACGCCGCGUGGGGGAUGACGGCCUUCGGGUUGUAAACCCCUUUCAGCAGGGAAGAAGCGCAAGUGACGGUACCUGCAGAAGAAGCACCGGCUAACUACGUGCCAGCAGCGGCGGUAAUAC